CGUAAACAGAGGGAAGCGAGCCUGCGAGGGGGAGCGAAUCCCAAAAAUAACGUCCCAGUUCGGAUUGUAGUCUGCAACCCGACUACAUGAAGCUGGAAUCGCUAGUAAUCGCGGAUCAGAAUGCCGCGGUGAAUACGUUCCCGGGUCUUGUACACACCGCCCGUCACACCAUGGGAGCUGGUAACACCCGAAGUCAGUAGUCUAACCGCAAGGAGGACGCCGCCGAAGGUGGGGUUGAUGAUUAGGGUUAAGUCGUAACAAGGUAUC
rnacentral:rRNA from 1 species